rnacentral:rRNA from 1 species
GAGGACGACGCUGGCGGCGUGCUUAACACAUGCAAGUCGAGCGAGAAAGCCCCGUUCGGGGGUGAGUACAGCGGCGAACGGGUGAGUAACACGUGGGCAACCUGCCCCGGAGACUGGGAUAACGUCCCGAAAGGGACGCUAAUACCGGAUGAUGCGUGACCUGCCAAGUGGGUCACGUCAAAUGGUAGCCUCGGCCUCUGCUCCGGGAUGGGCCCGCGCCGGAUUAGCUUGUUGGUGAGGUAACGGCUCACCAAGGCGACGAUCCGUAGCUGGUCUGAGAGGACGAUCAGCCACACUGGGACUGAGACACGGCCCAGACUCCUACGGGAGGCAGCAGUGGGGAAUCUUGCGCAAUGGGCGAAAGCCUGACGCAGCAACGCCGCGUGAGCGAAGACGGCCUUCGGGUUGUAAAGCUCUGUCAGGAGGGACGAAGCCACUCGGGUGAACAGCCCAGAGGGUGACGGUACCUCCACAGGAAGCCCCGGCUAACUACGUG